GAUGAACGCUGGCGGUAUGCCUAACACAUGCAAGUCGUACGAGAGUUUUUAACUCUAGUGGCGGACGGGUGAGUAACACGUGAGAAUUUGCCUUUAGGAGGGGAUAACAAUUGGAAACGAAUGCUAAUACCCCAUAUGCUUUUGAGUGAAACGGAUUUAUCCGGCCUAGAGAGAAGCUCGCGGCUGAUUAGCUUGUUGGUAAGGUAAGAGCUUACCAAGGCGACGAUCAGUAUCCUGGGUUUGAGAGGACGAUCAGACACACUGGAACUGAGACACGGUCCAGACUCCUACGGGAGGCAGCAGUGGGGAAUUUUCCGCAAUGGGCGAAAGCCUGACGGAGCAAUACCGCGUGAGGGAAGACUGCCUAUGGGUUGUAAACCUCUUUUUCAGGGAGGAAUAAAUGACGUGUACCUGAAGAAUAAGCAUCGGCUAACUCCGUG
rnacentral:rRNA from 1 species